rnacentral:rRNA from 1 species
GAGUUUGAUCCUGGCUCAGGACGAACGCUGGCGGCGUGCCUAACACAUGCAAGUCGAACGAAGUAUGUUUUUCGAAAUGUACUUAGUGGCGGACGGGUGAGUAACGCGUGAACAAUCUGCCCUAUACAAAGGAAUAGCCUCGGGAAACUGGGAUUAAAACCAUAUAACACUUUUAGGUCGCAUGACUUGGAAGUCAAAUUGAUUAAGAGGUAUAGGAUGAGUUCGCGUCUGAUUAGCUAGUUGGUGAGGUAAUGGCUCACCAAGGCGACGAUCAGUAGCCGGCCUGAGAGGGUGAACGGCCACACUGGAACUGAGACACGGUCCAGACUCCUACGGGAGGCAGCAGUGGGGAAUAUUGCACAAUGGGCGAAAGCCUGAUGCAGCGACGCCGCGUGAGUGAAGAAGGUCUUCGGAUCGUAAAACUCUGUCCUUGGUGAAGAAAAAAAUGACGGUAGCCAAGGAGGAAGCCCCGGCUAACUACGUGCCAGCAGCCGCGGUAAUACGUAGGGGGCGAGCGUUGUCCGGAUUUACUGGGCGUAAAGGGUGAGUAGGCGGUUGUAUGUGUCAGAUGUAAAAGGCUAUGGCUUAACCAUAGUUGGCAUUUGAAACUGUACAACUUGAGUGCAGGAGAGGUAAGUGGAAUUCCUAGUGUAGCGGUGAAAUGCGUAGAUAUUAGGAGGAACACCAGUGGCGAAGGCGACUUACUGGACUGUAACUGACGCUGAGUCACGAAAGCGUGGGUAGCAAACAGGAUUAGAUACCCUGGUAGUCCACGCUGUAAACGAUGAGUACUNAGUGUCGCGGGUAUUGACCCCUGCGGUGCCGAAGCUAACGCAUUAAGUACCCCGCCUGGGGAGUACGG